CAGUCGCCGCGGUAAUACGAAGGGGGCUAGCGUUGUUCGGAUUUACUGGGCGUAAAGGGUGCGUAGGCGGACUGAUAAGUCAGGGGUGAAAUCCCAAGGCUCAACCUUGGAACUGCCUUUGAUACUGUUAGUCUUGAGUUCGAGAGAGGUGAGUGGAACUGCGAGUGUAGAGGUGAAAUUCGUAGAUAUUCGCAAGAACACCAGUGGCGAAGGCGGCUCACUGGCUCGAAACUGACGCUGAGGCACGAAAGCGUGGGGAGCAAACAGGAUUAGAUACCCCAGUAGUCCCUGUCUCUUAUAC
rnacentral:rRNA from 1 species